CUGUUCGUACUCUCGCACGUUUCGGAACUGUGUGCCCUCGUUACAAUUUUCAUGCACGCCUAUUUUAUAUCAAUUGAUCGCAACACGUCCCUGGUUUUCCGGUCCAGGCAAACGUAUUCGUGACAAAUGCAUAACAUAAUAAAUAAGAAAUGCAAAGCCAGUAUGGCUACAACCGCAACACCUUUUUCCAGCAAGAUGGAGCCACUUCUCGUGUUACAAAUGACUCAUUAGCUGCUCUUCAAGUUUUAUUCCCUGGAAGAGUGAUAAGUCACCAAGGAGACAUCAACUGGCCACCGAGGAGCCCUAAUUUAACGCCAGCUGAUUUUUUCCUAUGUGGCUACCUAAAAAGUAAAGUUUACAAUCCAUUGCCACCCAACUUGAAUGUUUUGAAGCAAAGAAUCACGGAAGAAGUCAACUCUUUUUCCACGAGCGAUGCUCCAGCGAGUGAUUGAAAAUUUUAGCUCCAGAUUAAAUGAGUGAGUGAACAAGUGAAUGGUGUGCAUUUGCAAACGGUUGUUUUUUCAUAAAUAAACUUCAAGAACUACUCUUUAAUUUAACAAUAAAUAACUCAUAAAUA